GACGAACGCUGGCGGCGUGCUUAACACAUGCAAGUCGAACGGUAAGGCCCUUCGGGGUACACGAGUGGCGAACGGGUGAGUAACACGUGGGUGAUCUGCCCUGCACUUCGGGAUAAGCCUGGGAAACUGGGUCUAAUACCGGAUAGGACUCCUGCCUGCAUGGGUGGGGGUGGAAAGCUUUUGCGGGGUGGGGUGGGCCCGCGGCCUAUCAGCUUGUUGGUGGGGUGAUGGCCUACCAAGGCGACGACGGGUAGCCGGCCUGAGAGGGUGACCGGCCACACUGGGACUGAGAUACGGCCCAGACUCGUACGGGAGGCAGCAGUGGGGAAUAUUGCACAAUGGGCGCAAGCCUGAUGCAGCGACGCCGCGUGAGGGAUGACGGCCUUCGGGUUGUAAACCUCUUUCAGCACAGACGAAGCGCAAGUGACGGUAUGUGCAGAAGAAGGACCGGCCAACUACGUGCCAGCCGCCGCGGUAA
rnacentral:rRNA from 1 species